AGCCCAUGGUGAGGGCAACUUCUCAAGAGGUCCUUGUAUCUCUCCCAUGCAUCAUAGAGUGUUUCUAGAUCCAUUUGUACAAAAGAAGAUAUACCAUUCCUUAAUUU
rnacentral:snoRNA from 1 species